AUCCGGCCCAAGACGAAACGCCGGCGGCCGCCCUCACACACGCAAGUUCGAACGAACGAAGCUCUAGCCUGCUAGAGCGGAUCGCGGCGAAACGGGCGAGUAAUACGUCGAGUCGACCUACCUUUGACUCUGGGAUAAGCCCGGGAAAACUGGGUCUAAUACCGGAUACGACCAAUCUCCGCAUGGGGUGUUCGGUGGAAAGCGUUAUGGAGUCGGUUUUAGAUGGGCUCACGGCCUAUCAGCUUGUUGGUGAGGUAAUGGCUUACCAAGGCGACGACGGGUAGCCGGCCUGAGAGGGUGACCGGCCACACUGGGACUGAGACACGGCCCAGACUCCUACGGGAGGCAGCAGUGGGGAAUAUUGCACAAUGGGCGCAAGCCUGAUGCAGCGACGCCGCGUGAGGGAUGACGGCCUUCGGGUUGUAAACCUCUGUUAGCAUCGAAGAAGCGAAAGUGACGGUAGGUGCAGAGAAAGCGCCGGCUAACUACGUGCCAGCAGCCGCGGUAAUACGUAGGGCGCGAGCGUUGUCCGGAAUUAUUGGGCGUAAAGAGCUUGUAGGCGGUUGGUCGCGUCUGCUGUGAAAGGCUGGGGCUUAACCCUGGUUUUGCAGUGGGUACGGGCUAACUAGAGUGCAGUAGGGGAGACUGGAAUUCCUGGCGUAGCGGUGGAAUGCGCAGAUAUCAGGAGGAACACCGAUGGCGAAGGCAGGUCUCUGGGCUGUAACUGACGCUGAGAAGCGAAAGCAUGGGGAGCGAACAGGAUUAGAUACCCUGGUAGUCCAUGCCGUAAACGUUGGGCACUAGGUGUGGGGGACAUUCCACGUUUUCCGCGCCGUAGCUAACGCAUUAAGUGCCCCGCCUGGGGAGUACGGCCGCGAGGCUAAAACUCAAAGAAAUUGACGGGGGCCCGCACAAGCGGCGGAGCAUGCGGAUUAAUUCGAUGCAACGCGAAGAACCUUACCAAGGCUUGACAUAUACUGGACUGCGUCAGAGAUGGCGUUUCCCUUCGGGGCUGGUAUACAGGUGGUGCAUGGUUGUCGUCAGCUCGUGUCGUGAGAUGUUGGGUUAAGUCCCGCAACGAGCGCAACCCUCGUUCUAUGUUGCCAGCACGUGAUGGUGGGGACUCAUAGGAGACUGCCGGGGUCAACUCGGAGGAAGGUGGGGAUGACGUCAAAUCAUCAUGCCCCUUAUGUCUUGGGCUUCACGCAUGCUACAAUGGCCGGUACAGAGGGUUGCGAUACUGUGAGGUGGAGCUAAUCCCUAAAAGCCGGUCUCAGUUCGGAUUGGGGUCUGCAACUCGACCCCAUGAAGUCGGAGUCGUUAGUAAUCGCAGAUCAGCAACGCUGCGGUGAAUACGUUCCCGGGCCCUUGCACACACCGCCCGUC
rnacentral:rRNA from 1 species